rnacentral:lncRNA from 1 species
GUUGCUGAUGCUAUCGAUUCCCUUCUUUUUCUUACAGAAACAUCUUGGAACUUGUCAAGUUUUACUGGCGGUGAUUUGCAGUUAAUUAAUUCAACAGACACUUUAAUCUUGCAAAUUCUUGACUUGUAAUAUUGUAAUCAAGCUAUUGCAAGGGAACAGUAAUCAGUUAGUGAAAAAGGAGCCCUUGGUUCUGCGUCCCGUGCCAUGACAGUGCCCAGGCCCGAAGAGAAAGACCUCUGUGCUGCAGAGCUAUGAAAUCAUGCUACGUGGUUCCUCAACACUGAUGCUAUGAAUAUUCAGCCACCUCCUUUGUUUUUGCCAGUAAGCACUACUUUGAAAAACAAGUUCACGGAUUCCUGGGGGCUUGUGUAGCUCAGAGAAUGGGUAUGGGUCACCGAAGACUUGCUUCCAAUGGAUUCAAAUCCAUGUGUUUGGAAAUGGAAAAAAAAAAAGUCACUGUCAUCUGUUUAAUAAUUAAUCUGUCUGAGUAGAGUUGCUGCUUUUAUUUCAUUUAUUGAGACUAUCAUUGUCAGCAUUGUAAUAACCGAUUUGUAAAGCCUGAGUUUAUAAUUCAGUUUAGAGGUCAAAUCUGCAUGGUUGUAACUAUUGAAUAAUUUGAUGCUUGCCUUCCUGGGUGAUGACAUUUCCAGUUCCAAAUGGAAAUCCAUUUCUAUGUGGACUUGACUGCCCGGUUGCUUCUUGGAUCCUGCAAAAGCUUGCUUAUUAGCUUAAAAAAGAUCGCCCACUGAUAUUCCCAAUGCCUACAUUUUCACUUAGAAGUAAAAAAAGGUGAUCUCAUAAUUAAAAAUCAUGGUUCUUUUCCACUUCUCUUUUCUCAAAGAAAGGUCAAAAUGAAGUUACCAGAAAUUAUCAGAUCAUACUUUCAGAGUAUGUAAGAGAGUCAGGCAUCCAUGUGUUCCUAUAGUUUUUAGUCUAAAGAAUUGGUAUCAGUUUUAGGAGUUAACUCCAGACAAAUGAACAGAAGUCAUCAGAUGCAUCCAAUAAGUAGUCUAGAAGUAAAAAUGUGAAGAGGAAGAAGUAGGAUCAUUUUUCUUCUGUCUGAAAGAUACUGCUCUUUCCUAAGAGAGGACAUAACCAUCUUGGUGGUUAUGUCCAAGAUAUUCCCAGAGCUACUGAUUUUCCCAGUUACGGACACUAACAUCAUGGCAAGUGAAUUUUCAGAACUAAUUCUUUAUCAUAGGCAAAAAAAAAAAGGAAUGGUAGGAAAGUGGCCUAAUGUGACUGAUUUCUGAUUGCAAGGCUAUGACAACUAGCAAGUUAAAGAAAACGUUCAUCUCCUGAAUCCCACAGCCACCUUAGACACAAAAAUAUCCUUUAAUGUAUAAUAAGUUGGUGAACUGUGGUGAUCUAGGAGCAACAAACAGUUCUUUUCUGCAGGUUCAUGGGAAACAGUGACUUCAGCAGAGCUGAGUGUCAGGACAGAGCGUUUCUAUUAAUGAAGAGGCCCAAGUACAGUGAUUGAAAAGAAAACCUGUCAGUGGUCCGUCAAAAAAUACUUACCUUUUUAGAGCAGAAAUUCAGAGUAGUUACUGCCAUUCUAUAACUAUGACAACAGACUUCUCCCCUUGGAAAAGUCAGGGUCUGAUUAAUGUGGGGAGAUGGAGGAUAUGUUGGUAGCUUCAUAUGUAAGAUUGAGUUUCCCUCAUGAUGAUUCUCCUUGAUCACUGGUUCCCAUACUGCUCUGCACACCAAGAGUGGCUGGUGGAUUAUAAGAAAAGACAUUUUAAGGUAUUGUAAUUAAUUCUUGCUUGUCCAAUGCAAACCAUAAACCUAUCCAUCCUUUUAACAGCAAUGAGAUUCAGGGUUACCAUGGCCUUAGUCAACGUCCCAUUGUAAAUAUACCAUGACAUCACAACAGCCUCCAUAUCCGAACCCACUCGACCAGGUUUACCAGUAUUAGACUCUUUUAAAUGUAGUUUGGAUCUUGAUUCUACCAAUCACCUAGUCUGUGUAUUUAUUCUCAAAUUGGAAAAAAUAAUUCUUAGGAGGAUGAUUUUCAAAAUAAUGGAAACAAAAAUAAAUAAAUAAAUAGAUGGACAGUUAAGCAAUUUUUCAACAUAGACAAAACCACUGGGCCAUUGAUAGCCCUAAAGCUCUGAUUUUUCCUCAUGACUAACUUUCUUUUCAUUUGAGGGCUUUUGAUGUUUGAAUUUUCCAAGUGAUUGCUGAACCAUCUUUACUAAACCAAAGUAGACACUACAGAGUUAUUAAAAAAUAAAGACUGUCCACAUGAAUGCAAACAUCCCAAUGAAAAGCGGAGAAGCAGGUCACUCAAGUGGUAAAUUUGGCCUUCAUGAUAGCAAGCAUCUGGAUACUAUACAGAAGUGUCCAGAUGUUGGAAGCAUACAGUUUUCUGUCUGGUUGUCUGGUGUUGUCUAGAAAGACAAACUGCUCAGGUAUUAUAGGUACUGGACUUUCUUGUGCAGUAAUCGAUUGCUGGUGAUAUUCUGCUACUAAAAGUCUCUUUGUCGUGCAAAGAGAAAUAAAUAAAGCAGAGCCAAUCUUAUGUGAUUUUUAUUUACUUUCAGCAAGUGCAUGAAGGGAAGAGGUUUGGCAGGCUCUGUCCUGGGCACUGCACACAUGACUGUAGCACGGAGCUCCAUAGGAGCAGCAGUUCUAGAAACUCUUUCCAGGCAAGGAAAGGAACUGUUCAGCCUUUACUACCUUCUGUAAUUUUAUUAUUGCAUUUCUGCUGUUGGUAAAAUCUUCAUCAUUCACAGUCCACUUGACAGAAUGGUUCAAGGGAAAAAUAAAUCUGAUUAGUUUUUAUUCUUCAAAUAGGAGUUUUAACCUUAAGCAUUCCAUAUUAUAGCAUAAGCCCCCCAAACACUGCUUGAUGCAAUUAUUUCAUGGUGAAUUCUAUGGUGUCACCAGAUAAAAAGCUGUUUUUCCUAAAUCGAAAAAAAUACCUAACUUUUGGGGUUUGGUUUGUUGAUAUCAU